AUGACAAUAAUUCAUACAAUACUAUAAGCCAAAAUAAUACAUUAAUGACCAAUGGAUAUGUUGUGCCUCAUCAAGCCAUGGAGAUAUUUCAACUAGGGGAAGUGUCACAAAAUAACUCUAAUAGCUUCUUGAAACAGCCAAUUUUUAUGAAUCCAUCCUUUCAAUUUCAGUGAGAAGGCGGUGCACAGCGAUUAAAUAUUUCGACAACAAUAAUUACUAUGCCUCAAUCCAAAACAAGUUGAUCAGUCGCGGACUACUAGUAAUCUCGACAACAAUAAUUACUAUGCCUCAAUCCAAAACAAGUUGAUCAGUCGCGGACUACUAGUAAUCUCGACAACAAUAAUUACUAUGCCUCAAUCCAAACAGUGAUCAGUCGCGGACUACUAGUAUCUCGACAACAAUAAUUACUAUGCCUCAAUCCAAAACAAGUUGAUCAGUCGCGGACUACUAGUAAUCUCGACAACAAUAAUUACUAUGCCUCAAUCCAAAACAAGUUGAUCAGUCGCGGACUACUAGUAUCUCGACAACAAUAAUUACUAUGCCUCAAUCCAAAACAAGUUGAUCAGUCGCGGACUACUAGUAAUCUCGACAACAAUAAUUACUAUGCCUCAAUCCAAACAGUGAUCAGUCGCGGACUACUAGUAUCUCGACAACAAUAAUUACUAUGCCUCAAUCCAAACAGUGAUCAGUCGCGGACUACUAGUAUCUCGACAACAAUAAUUACUAUGCCUCAAUCCAAACAGUGAUCAGUCGCGGACUACUAGUAUCUCGACAACAAUAAUUACUAUGCCUCAAUCCAAAACAAGUUGAUCAGUCGCGGACUACUAGUAUCUCAUCAACAAUUGUAACAUAUAUAUGUAAUUUAAAGGUCAUGGUACUAUAGAGGAAAAAAAGAUAGUUGUAUUAAUACAGAAUUUUAUUUUCUAGC
rnacentral:lncRNA from 1 species